rnacentral:lncRNA from 1 species
ACAUAACAAUAACCAAAUCUAAAACCAAAUUAUACAUGUGAAGCAAGUAGAGUUAUUGUCAUCCACAUCGUAAUGAAACCAUAAGCAAACACGCUCAGCAACUCUACUUUAAGGUUGUACUCCAUCCACAUUGAUUCCAGCAUGCAGAACAGUAUCAAGCAGCCCCUUUAAAUUUUGCAUCAUAUUCAUAUGGUUGCAAGAAGAUUGCUGAAAUCAAUCGGCGAGCAAACCAUCGCUUGUGCAUGGCUUGUUGAGCGCGUGCUGAAGCCUCCACAUUCUCAAAGCGCAAAUAAACAUAGCCAGCACUAUUCUUGUCCACAUGGAUAUGCUUCACCGGGCCAUAGUUUGAACAUUCUUCACGCACAUCAUCCCUGAUGUCCAAAUCAAAUUCUGGAUCCGUCUCAGUUGCAGGAUCAAACAUAUUCUUCAAAAGUAAACACUCGCUUGGGUUGCCAAUGGGCUCUGGGGGCAUUAAAACUUGUGCUGGAAGUACUGGAGCAGACAUUGCUGUAGGUGCAACCAUGGGCAUGGUUAUGGAUUGUUGUGCAGGAGUUGCGCCAUUAAGCGCAGGUACUCCAAGGGAACCAGCAACACUUGACGCAAUCCCACUACGAUCCAGUUUUGCCAUUAGCAUUGCUCUUGAUUGAGCAUUCAAAGCCAAUCCACCUCCAUCAUCAUCAUCAAAAUCGGCAGUUUUCUGCCCUGAAUCUUGCACUCCAACAUGAUCCAUAACAGAUGAAACCUUAAUAGUUCGACCAGCAAUCUCCAAUUUCCCAUUUAGAACUUGCGCAGCCUUUGCAUGUUCUAGUUGAGCAAAUUGAACAAAGCCAAAACCUUUGCAAUGUCCAGUCUCAGGAUCAGUAGGCAGCUGUACAAGUUCAACGGGCCCAAAUGCUUCAAAAAUCUGUUUAAGCUGAAAUUCAGUCAUGUUGAAAUGUAAAUUUCCAACAUAGAGUUUCCUAUCUGUUGCACCAUAUGGGCCCACAACGCUUGAAUUACUGGAAGCAUUUGAUGGAACAAGGUUCUUUUCUGCCUCUGAUGGUUUAACCAUAACAGGCUGUCCAAGAAGUAGAUGCCCAGAUAGAGCAAUUGCCAUCGGCACAGACACGGAAUCAAAGAACUCAAUGUACCCAACUCCUUUUGAUCUCCUCGAAUUUCGAUCCAUGAUAAGACGUACAUCCCUCGCCUUUCCUGCUUUUGAGAAAAACUCGUAAACAUCCCUCUCAGUUGCCUUCAAGGGCAUCUGGUAAGCAAAUACUGUUCUCUAAUCCCUUUCUGGGUCAGCCUCAGGUUCCACCGCUUCUUUCUUUUCUUUAAAUCUCCUGCUUUCCCUCAUCUCGAGCUCGCGCUCUCGUUCCCUGAUCAACUCUCUCUCCCUUUCACGAUCGAGCCUGGACCUGCUUCGGCUCCUCCUUGACCUCUCCAUUUCCUUCGACCUCUCCCUUUCCCUAGACCUCUCCCUUUCCCUAUCUCUUUCCUUCUCCUUUUCCUUGUCCUAUUUUUUUCUAAUUUUUUCUAAUUUUUUCAUUUUUACUUUUAAAUAAUGAAACUAAAUCCAAAACAACUAAAACAUAUUUUUUGAACGCUUUUCUUUUUCCUUUAAGAAAUUCUACGCUAAAAUGGCUAAAAGAACUAAAACUAAAAGUAAAUAAAACUAAUUGUGACAAAUAGAAAUAGAACAAAUAAAAAACGAAUAGUAAAUAAAUAAUAAAACACCAAAAAUUUGGUGUCUACAGUUUGCCCCUCUUUGUCUGAGUUUUGAAAAAACUUGAGACAAAAAAGUAGACACCAAAUACUUACCUGUGUUAUUUGGCUGCAUUAAACUUGAACGACUGACACUCUAGAAAUGAGGAUUGACCUCUUUUGACAAAAAUUUUUGAAAUGGGACUGACCCAGACAAGAAAAUUAAACAGAAAAUUUUAAUCGGGACUGACCCGAGACAGGAAAUUUAAAAUCGGACUGGCCCGAACAGGAAUUUAAAACGGGACUGACCCAAACAGGAAUUUAAAACGAGACUGACCCGAACAGAAAUUUAAAACGGGACUGACCCGAACAGGAAAUUUAAAACGGGACUGACCCGAACAGGAAAUUUAAAACGGGAUAGACCCGGACAGAAAUGUAAACGGGAUAGACCCGGACAGAAAUGUAAAUGGGAUAGACCCGGACAGAAAUUUAAAUGGGAUAGACUCACGGGAUAGACCCGAACAGAAAACAUAAAUGAGAUAGACCCACGGGAUAGACCCGGACAGAAAUGUAAACGGGAUAGAUCCGGACAGAAAUGUAAAUGGGAUAGACCCACGGGAUAGACCCGGACAGAAAUGUAAACGGAAUAGAUCCGGACAGAAAUGUAAAUGGGAUAGACCCACGGGAUAGACCCGGACAGAAAUUUAAAUGGGAUAGACCCACGGGAUAGACUUGGACAGAAAUGUAAAUGGGAUAGAUCCGGACAGAAAUGUAAACGGGAUAGACCCGGACAGAAAUGUAAACGAGAUAGACCCGGACAGAAAUGUAAAUGGGAUAGACCCACGGGAUAGACCCGGACAGAAAUUUAAAUGGGAUAGACCCAGACAGAAAUGUAAAUGGGAUAGACCCACGGGAUAGACCCGGACAGAAAUAUAAAUGGGAUAGACCCAAACAGAAAAUUUAAAACGGGAUAGACCCGAACAGGAAAUUUAUAACGGGAUAGACCCGAACAAGAAAUUUAAAAAUCAUGGGACUGGCCCGAAUAAAAUAAAAUCAUGGAGUGCUCACUAGUGGGACUGACCCACGGCUAGUGGCGGUGCAAAAAAGGAAAUGCUCACUAGUGGGACUGACCCACGGCCAGUGGCAGUGAAAAUGAAAGACACGCUAGUGGGACUGACCCAACGGCUAGCGGCGAAAUAAAAGAAAAUGCUCACUGGCGGGACUAACCUACGCUCCAGUGGCUGUGAAAAUGAAAUGCUUACUGGCGGGACUAACCCACGCUCCAGUAGCGAUGUAAAUGAAAUGCUUACUGGCGGGACAAACCCCCGCUUCAGUGGCUGUGAAAAUGAAAUGAACACUGGCGGGACUAACCUCACGCUCUAGUGGCUGUGAAAAUGAAAUGCUCACUGGCGGGACUAACCUCACGCUCCAGUGGCGAUGUAAAUGAAAUGCCUUGACAAUCGGACAGUGGGAUCAAACCCGAGCCUAACGUGAUGAACUUGAUUUGAUUUUUUGAUUUUUUUGAUUUUUGAUUUUUUUGAUUUUUCGAGAGAAUCUUUUUCAAAAAUAAUUUGCCCCAAUGUAGGGCCCUUUUCCCUUUUUUCUUCUCUUUCUUCGGCAUCGGCCUUCCACAACUCAGAAGCUCUUUCGUUGAUUUCAACUAUGAAUACCUGCACAGGGGUUUGCCAAAAUAUGACAUGCACUUAAAAAAUUAAUGCCACUACUACUCAUGGAAAGAGUAGCGUGAUUGAUUUGAACAUCUUGCUUGAAUCUUUGACGAAAUCCUCAAAUGAACUAUAAAAAAUUUGCCCCAGUGUGGGCUUCUUUUGCGAAAUCUUGCAAAUAAAAAUUUUGCCCCAGUGUGAGCCCAUUUGAUUCCAAAAAUUGGUUUGGAUGCCUCUCCGUUUAUUUGAACAAAGUAAGAAACUGUGUUUCCUAUAUAAUGUGAAGAAAUCUGAACGUCUUGCUCAAACUUACACAGAAAAUUUCACGAUGAAUUUCUCAAAAUAAUGCCGAAAAAGAUUUCUUCCUCACUUUUAACAUCAGUGCUUAGGGUAACGGGUCACCACCUCUUAUUGGCUCAAAUUUCAGGAGCAAUCCAGUGAUCUUAUUUCUGAUUUUUGAGGGGGUUAAGGGAAAUGAUAAGUCAAAAUUUGUCUGGUUCUUGUGCUCAAAAUUGUAAUCCAUUCAACAUCACAUCUUAGUGAAAGCAGAGAGUUUGUCACCCUUAUUUCUUAAGAAAAUUGAGUCAACAUAUAAGCUUUAAGCUUGCAACAAAUGGGUAGGAACGAUAGCUAAACAUGUGAAAACUGGUUAUACCCUUAUGAUCACAAAUGAUUAAUGGAUUUUCUUAUGAGCAUAAUCCUCACUUUGGAUGGUCAUGAAGAAAUAAGUCAACGAUGGACUUUAUUAGCUUGUAAUGUGGCUUGAAACGAUAGUUGAAGGAUAAGUCUUUCAAGGACAUUGCACCGAAGAUCGCAUUUUUCCAAAAUUGCCCCUAAUCUGAACUCAAAGAUCUCAGAAUUUGUUUGUAUUCUUCUCAUCAUUCACCAGGGACUUCAGCGUCGAAUUUUUCUGCAUUUUCUUGCAUUUACUUUUCUUGCCUUGCUUUUUGCCUCUUUUUCCUUUCUCUCAACUUGGUAGAUUUGCACAUGGUGAGUAGCGUCAACCCCAUACCCAAGCAAUUCAGAAAUACAGCUAAAAUUUUUCGGCAUCAAAAAUUUUCUUGACAGGGCCAUUGCAAAGAACAGAAGUCAGAACUUUUGGCUUUUGUAAUGGGGUUUGGUGGGGUGCUUAAAAAAGUUAAGGUUUGAAGGCAGAUUUCAAGAGUGGUUUAAGUAAUCUGAGAUCGCACUGUUGUGCCAACCCUAUUUUAGGGUUAAAUCAAAAUUUGCCAGAGCUUGUGCUCAAUUGAGGCUUUUUCUCUUUCAUUUUCUUUCGAUUUUUCGGCCUUCUGCCAUUUUUUGAACUUUCACAAAAUUUGCCCAAGUUUAUUUUUGAACUGAGCUUCUCUUUUCUUCUUUUGUCUUUUGAUUUUGCGGCAUUAUCACUUUUCACUUCUUGAAAUUUUUCCUUUUUCAACUCAAACUUGCCCCCAGUGUGGGGUUUGCGAUUCUUAGGGAUUGUCAAACGAAGUAUUUUAUUCUGAAGGUUCAAAAGGGAUAACUAGGGAUAGAAUACCUGAUCGGAAAAGAAGAGGGUCUGAUUUUUAUUCUGUUCCUUACAAUAACUCUGAAAGGAAACUUUCAUUAAUGGGAAAUUUCUGGCAUGUAUCUGAAUUAACUGACUGAGGAAGACCCUUGUUCAUCCAUAUCUGUGAAACAUAGGCGGUCCGUGCGGACAAAUCUCUUCCUUUUCUCUUUUUUUUUUCAAAAUUGGACCCCAAGUGGAAUCAAAUUUCCCCAAUUUGCGGUUCCCUCCUUAUUCUAGCAUUUUUGCUUUUCCCUUUUUCUUUUUUUUUCUUUUUCAACAUUCCCCAAUCUCCUUCCCCAAUGUGGGGUGCGAUCAUAUGUGUACUAAAAAAGAACCACCACUUUUUAGCUCAAAUGAGGAUGCAAGGGAUGAUCAGUGUUUAGGUUGUAGAAACGAUGACCAAAGUAUCAUUCUUACGCCUCAUGACAACCAAGUAAACGAAUUGCUCAUUGAGAAUCCAUUCCCUUUUGAAAAUCUUCCCAAUGUAGGGUAGUGAUCAUUAAGGCUCUUAUUUGAAACGAAAUUAUUCUUUCAAAGGCUCAAAUGGGAGAGCAAAUGAUAAAAUGUGUAUAGGUAGAGAAAAGAAUGCUCGAAGUAUCAUUCCAAAUUUUCAAAACAAACAAGAAUAAUGCACAUUUUUGCUUUCACUUAGAUGUGAUUGAAUCAGAUUAGUCAUCACGGACAUUUUCAAGCAAAAGUUGCCCCAAUUUGCAAUUUAUCAAUCAAUGUGACUGAUUUUAUUUUGGGGUUAAGUGAAGGAGAAAGACAUCUCAUGGGUCUUCUGAGUGACCUCUUUUAAUUUUGAGCACUCUUAUUGUGUAGCUCGGAUCACCCAUCUAGUGUACACAAGGAUUUUAGAAAGCAUACACUUACGAAUUUUCAGGCUGGAGGUUGAAAAAACUUUCAAUUUGGUCUUAUUUCUUAAAAUUCAUCAUGAAAUCUCUUAAUGAGCUCAAUAAAGGAUGAAAUGUACACGAGUAUUAUACAAAACAAGUAAUUGUCUGAACAAAAGCUUUAUUAUUGCUAAUGUUUGAAAAAUUUAAAGAGCAAUACAUAUGAAAAAUAUUCUAAGGAACUCCUUUACACAUGUAUACACACUUUUCCCUCUUAAUAGCCCCCUUCUCCCUUUGAGCAAUGAAAUCUCUUAAAUGUUUUACACAAGCGUUUUCAGAUGAAUUUUCAAAUUCACAUUGCAGGGCCUGCCCAAGAAUCAUGUAAUUUUCAAACUUUAUCAGAUCAGAAUUGUUUUCAUACUUUAUUUCAUGUUUUCAAGUUUUAUGAAAUUUUUAUGAAUGCAGGGAAGGGGGAAAACAAAAGAAAAAUACCCAGAGUUAGUAAUCAAGACUAUAAAAUCAGUAUGCAUGCCCUAUGGGGGAACCCUUUUUGUGCCAAGGGUAGACCUAGCAUGAAAAUGCAAUCCUCUGAGGUAGGCACUAUACCAUACCUGAUGAAUCCGAUCAACUGAUUGAGUGAAAAAUAAUUUGAAAAAUUUGGCCAAUUGGAGUGACGAGAGACAUUUGUCAAAAAGAGGACAACGUCCGAAUGAAUUGAUCACAAAUGCACGGGUUUGACCUUGACGAACUUCCUAUCGAAGAGAUUGGAAUUCAGUGACAAAUUUUCUCAGUGAAGCAUGGGUCAAAACUCUAACUGAUCAAAUGGCUAAAUGCAAUGGAUGGUUUUCUCAAAAUCGACUAGGCUUCCCAAUUUGAAAUUCGACCUUGAAACCCUAAUUAGUCAAAUGGGUUGAAUGAAAUUUGAUUAUUUAUUCAAAAAUGAAUGGAUAACCCUAAAAAUGAAUUAAACUAAUCCAAGGAAUUGAAUGAAAUCAAUUGAUCAAACCGAUCGAGUGAAAGGAUGAUUUAUUCAAAAUUGACCGAAUCGCCCUAAAAAUAGGUAAACUGGUCAAAUGGAUCGGAUGAUUUAUUCAAAAUUGAUUAGAUCACCCUAAAAGGGUAAACUUGGUCAAAUGAAAUUGAACGAAUCUGAUGAUUUGAAUUUAUUCAAAAUCAAUUGAGUUGACCUAAGAAUGGGUAAACUAAUCAAAUGAAUUGAAUGAAAUUGGUGAUCUUAUUUAAAAAUCGACUAGAUUGCCCUAAAAUGGAUAAACUAGUCAAAUGAAUUCAAAAUCGACUAGAUUGCCCUAAAAAUGAACAAAUUGAUAAAAUAGACUGGAUGAAAUUGAGGAAUCAAAUGAUCCAAUAGACUGAAUGGCUUGAUGUAUUAGUCUAUGAGCCUUCUAAAAUCAAAUUUUGGCUUCAGUUUAUUUAUCGUCUCAUCAGUGAGGAAAUAUUGGUGAAUGUUCCAAUUAAUGUCCUUUACGCCAGGGAUUUUACCAAUUUUGAUAAAGUGGCUAAGAAGUGAUUAUUAGAUGCUCAUAUUCCAAAAAUUGCUCUAUAAAAAUGAUCGGAUCCUACCUUACCUUGUGCACUACCCCUUUGGAUGGUACAAAAUGUAAACGUGCAAAUCUCCUUGGAUUAAGUAUCCGAGACACAAGGUGGCUUAUUCCUAACACGGGAUCCCCUAAAUGGCAUUCCCUUCUAGGGUUUAUGCAUGAUGCCAGUUUAUUAAAGCGAUGUAAAUAUGUGACAAAUAUGACCUAAGGGACAUAAAUAAUGCAUCGGGGGGCAAAAGGUCUAAAAUAAAAUGUACUUAUUGAAAAUUAAGUGUAAUAACUGAAAUUUAAAUAUGUGAGAUAUCUAGUGGGUAAGUCACUAAAAAAGUGCCAAAAAAGCCUCUUAUUGCUAAGACAUAUGAAUGCAAGCCAAGAAAACAAAAGAAUGGUUAGUGCAAUUGAUAGUACACAUAACAUGUUGGGAGCAAUAAAAAAAAAAGAAAUACAAUAAAAACAAGUAAAAGGGGUGGAACCCCUUCCCUCGUGCCUAAUGUGCUUAAAAAAGGUGAGGCUGACUCUAACCUAGGAAAAUUCUAAUAUGGAUGCAUGAGACUGGGGUUCACUAAUACAACUAGACUCGAUAAGGUUUAAAAGGUCCCCAAGCCUUCAGACCUAAGGGAAUAGGUCAUCAAUCCCAAGACUUUCGAUCGGUGGCUCGAGCGGUCCCCUAGAUAUUGCUAUGGCGCAGAGCACACCAUCCACAUACCUAGAGAAACCAUUCCUAGUCCUACAAGGCGGUGUGGGAAAGAGCCCACGAAAAAUAAAAUAAAAAUGGGAUAACAGUAAAUAAACGUGCACGUAUGAAGUGUUCCCUAUUUUGAGGGAAAGGGUUGAGAACCAACGCGAGGCUCUAAAGGUGACACACCCCCCCCCAAAUACAAUGCAAAGCGCGAGAUAAAACAAGUAAACAUACAUCCAAUCAACCAAUCAUACAUUCGUGAGCGAGGGAGUAGUUUGAGACGCGAGUGAGGCAAAGGGUCCUAAAAAGGGAAAAUGCAACCCUAAUAUCCAUAUGCCAUGCAUAAAAAAGGGUAGAAAAAGGAAACGAAUGACUAAGUCAAAUGCUUGGACCCACUUAGGAAGUCCCCAGUGGAGUCGCCAACUGUCGCGCCCCACUUUUUGAUGUGUGUCUGAGUAGUGUGUGGGAUAUGUAUGUGAACGUGUGUAAAAGUAAAAAUAAAAGGCCGUGAGACUUGAAAAUGCGACGAUUUGGCCAAAUAAAGUUCAAAAAGGGUUUUUGGAUGAAAAAUGGAGUCGCCACUUGGUAUGGAGUUAGGGUGUACCAAGUCACCCAAAAAUGAUUUUGUUUUGUUUUUGAAAGAAAAAGUAAACAAACCCUUUUGAAGAACUUUUAGGUCUACAUAACCAAAGAAAGGGAUCGGGGGUCACAUUUGAUAAGGGAGAAGGCAAAGGCAAAGCCUAAGGCACUCCCUUACCCUAGCCAAAGCUAGUUGCAUGACUUAGCCCCACUUUUCCUAAUUUUUCUACCCAAGGUAUGUAUCGCAUGUUGGAUAUGACUAAUGGAUGCGAAAAUGAAAGAAAAAUGCAAUCCUAAAUCUAAAAUAUUUCUCAUGAGGCUUUUAGGUCCCAACCACAUGAAUUGUGGUGGCCAAUAAGGAUAGCUCUCAUGGAAGUCGUGAUUAAUGCAAGUGAGGACUCAAGUGCAAGCGUGCAAGUGUGCAAGUGUGAGAAAAUAAAGGUGCUUGUGUGUGCAAAUGAAUAAAAAUAGGAUAUUAGAUACGUAUAAGUGCAAUUUGAAUGCCAUUUGUGAGGUAGAAAAAUAAAUGAGGGAUAGGAAAAAGGUGGUGAGAAAAUGGAUUGAGAAAAAUCUAAGUAGUGAGAAAAUGUGGCUAAAAGAGUUAGGAGGUGAUAUAAAAAGAAUGCAAGUGUAUGACCCUAAGGGAAUGCAGCAGGUCGGGCACGGGAAGGACUCCUAACUUUACGACUUUGAUUUUCCCUUGGAUUAGAAGGAAGAACUAGCGUGCUAAGGCUAUUUUGUAGCCAAACUCGCUCGUUUCCCUUAUCGAAAGGGGACUCUCAAGCAAAUGUCCCUAUAACUAGCAUGAGGAUGCAAAAAACCUAAAAUGAGGGGAAAAGGAUUGGAGGAGCAUGCCAAAUGAUAAAAAAAACUAAGAAAAAUGCAUGGAAUGUAGUGAACAUGCAGGUAUGCACUAACGAAAGGGAAAUCCCUAAGGGUCUAGCGUUGGACUAGCCCUUUCUAUGAAUUCCUAACGGAAUAAUGAGCCACAACUAGCAUUGGACUAGUGUGGUGACGUACAUUCAUCCAUCACAUAACAAUAACCAAAUCUAAAACCAAAUUAUACAUGUGAAGCAAGUAGAGUUAUUGUCAUCCACAUCGUAAUGAAACCAUAAGCAAACACGCUCAGCAACUC